rnacentral:rRNA from 1 species
CAAUAGCGUAUAUUAAAGUUGUUGCAGUUAAAAAGCUCGUAGUUGGAUUUGUGGCUGUCACGGGCGGCCUAUCACUUAGUGUUAGUGCUUGCCUGUGUCGCCAUCCUUGGGUGGAGCCCGUGUGGCAUUAGGUUGUCGUGCGGGGGAUGCCCAUCGUUUACUGUGAGAAAAUUAGAGUGUUCAAAGCAGGCUUAUGCCGUUGAAUAUGUUAGCAUGGAAUAAUAAGAUAGGACCUCGGUACUAUUUUGUUGGUUUGCGCACCGAGGUAAUGAUUAAUAGGGACAGUUGGGGGUAUUCGUAUUCCAUUGUCAGAGGUGAAAUUCUUGGAUUUCUGGAAGACGAACUACUGCGAAAGCAUUUACCAAGGAUGUUUUCAUUAA